rnacentral:rRNA from 1 species
UACGUAGGGCGCAAGCGUUGUCCGGAAUCAUUGGGCGUAAAGCGCGUGUAGGCGGCUCGGUAAGUCCGCUCUGAAAGUCCAGGGCUCAACCCUGGGAUGCGGGUGGAUACUGCCGGGCUCGAGUCCGGAAGAGGCGAGUGGAAUUCCCGGUGUAGCGGUGAAAUGCGCAGAUAUCGGGAGGAACACCAAUGGCGAAGGCAGCUCGCUGGGACGUGACUGACGCUGAGACGCGAAAGCGUGGGGAGCAAACAGG